rnacentral:tRNA from 1 species
GGGGAUAUACCUCAGUUAGUAGAGUGUUUGCCUCUGCAUGCAUAAGGCCCUGGAUUCAAUCCCCAGAACUCCCC